AUACGUCCCUAGCAGGGCAGAAUAUUAUGAUCAUGUUGGUGGUAUCCCCAGGGCAAGGUUCACCCAUUGCACUUGCAUUGUGCUGACCCCUGAGAGUUCCCCCAAAAUGGGAAACUGGACUGAAAAAUGCAUGGUUCAACCUCUCUCCUAGGGGAAAAAUA
ensembl:snRNA U1 U1 spliceosomal RNA